rnacentral:rRNA from 1 species
AAUCAACGCUGGCGGCGUGCCUCAGACAUGCAAGUCGAACGAUUAAAGCUCUCUUCGGAGAGUGCAUAGAGUGGCGCACGGGUGAGUAACACGUAAGUAAUCUACCUUCGAGUGGGGAAUAACGUCCGGAAACGGACGCUAAUACCGCAUAAUGCAGCGGCAUCGUAAGAUGACAGUUGUUAAAGAUUUAUCGCUUGAAGAGGAGCUUGCGGCAGAUUAGCUAGUUGGUAAGGUAAUGGCUUACCAAGGCUACGAUCUGUAACCGGUCUUAGAGGACGGUCGGUCACACUGACACUGAAUAACGGGUCAGACUCUACGGAGGCAGCAGUCGGGAAUUUUGGGCAAUGGGCGAAAGCCUGACCCAGCAACGCCGCGUGAAGGAUGAAGUAUUUCGGUAUGUAAACUUCGAAAGAAUAGGAAGAAUAAAUGACGGUACUAUUAUAAGGUCCGGCUAACUACGUGCCAG